rnacentral:lncRNA from 1 species
CAGAGUUCCAGCCCUGAUUGCUCAGGCAACUGCUACUGCCCAGGUUAACCUGCACUUUCCAUGGGCUGGGCUGGUCAUGGUCUUGAGCCUGGAGGAGAGUCCUAUGUCUCACUCCCUCUCUUCCCGCCUGAAGGUGCUGCUGAGGACAUGGACGAGGAUAGCCUGGGCAAGGGCCCCACAUGCCCAGCAGCCCCAUCCUUGUGAAUUAUUACAGGAAGAAAAGCAUUUUCCAGCCAGUGGCCCACUCCAGGUGCCAGGGGUCAUGUUGAUUUGCUCCGGAAAAUAUAUCAUAUUUGUAGCAGCAGGUGCAGUUGGAAUAGCCACCUGCUGAGCUUUGUGAAAAUCCACAGACGUUCUCCAGGGAUGCCCGCCUUCCGCCUCGCCCAGCUAGGGAGUCAAGUGGGGCUGUGCUGGAGAUCACCAGCCCUGCAUCUUUCACAUCUUUUGGGGGUAGCACUAACCUUGGCAGUUUCACCAGACAUGCAGAUUUGAGUUCAUUAGCCUGGUAGGAAAGACAAAUUGCAGGACUUCCAUUUAACUUCUUAUAGCAUGACAGCAAUAACCCUGUGGGUCGCAGAGCUGAUGCGAGGAUGCCGCCAGUUUCUCGGAUGUCUUUUUAGCUACACACUCAGGAACUUUUACAAACUGACCACAGGCAGGCUCUGCAGAACUCCCAGGCCCAGCUUGAGAUGAACUUGGACCACAAAUGCAUGAUCCCUGACCGUCAGCCGCCACUUUAACUGGUGGACCACCAUGGUGUUUUGGGGCCCCAGAAUUUGGCACUCACCAAAAUCAGUGAUCUGUGGGCCCUGAAAGCGCAGGAUGUCGCCCUUGUCUGGAGCACCUCACUGAAGGGGCAGUGGCUCCCGUGGGGAGGGCUGGGAGGGCAAGUCCUGAGCACCUGAGAGCCCAGGGAGCCUGGCUUCCUUGUCAACCACAGGUGAGGACAAGGACAGGCACAACCAGAUCAGCUGCACAGCUGUGUCUUUUAGGGUCUGUCUCCUGGCACGUUCUGGUGCCAAGUACUGCAUCUAUCAGAGUACGGUCAGGAAACAGAAAACUUACUACCUUUAAGUAUUUAAAAUUGUAAGGCUUGCACGGUGGCUCAUGCCUGUAAUCCCAGCUCUUUGGGAGACUGAGUCAGGUGGAUCGCUGGAGCGCAGGAGUUCAAGACCAGCCUGGGCAACAUGGUGAGAUCUCAUCUCUACAAAAAAAAAAAAAAAAAAAAAAAA